rnacentral:rRNA from 1 species
AAAAGUGAAAGACGGUCUUGCUGUCACUUAUAGAUGGAUCCGCGCUGCAUUAGCUAGUUGGUAAGGUAACGGCUUACCAAGGCAACGAUGCAUAGCCGACCUGAGAGGGUGAUCGGCCACACUGGAACUGAGACACGGUCCAGACUCCUACGGGAGGCAGCAGUAGGGAAUCUUCCGCAAUGGGCGAAAGCCUGACGGAGCAACGCCGCGUGAGUGAUGAAGGUCUUCGGAUCGUAAAACUCUGUUAUUAGGGAAGAACAUAUGUGUAAGUAACUGUGCACAUCUUGACGGUACCUAAUCAGAAAGCCACGGCUAACUACGUGCCAGCAGCCGCGGUAAUACGUAGGUGGCAAGCGUUAUCCGGAAUUAUUGGGCGUAAAGCGCGCGUAGGCGGUUUUUUAAGUCUGAUGUGAAAGCCCACGGCUCAACCGUGGAGGGUCAUUGGAAACUGGAAAACUUGAGUGCAGAAGAGGAAAGUGGAAUUCCAUGUGUAGCGG